rnacentral:rRNA from 1 species
GGAAUAUUGGACAAUGGGGGCAACCCUGAUCCAGCCAUGCCGCGUGUGUGAAGAAGGCUUUCGGGUUGUAAAGCACUUUCAGUGAGGAAGAAGGCCUGUCGGUUAAUACCCGGCAGGGGAGACAUCACUCACAGAAGAAGCACCGACUAACUCCGUGCAAGCAGCCGCGGUAAUACGGAGGGUGCGAGCGUUAAUCGGAAUUACUGGGCGUAAAGCGCGCGUAGGUGGCUUGAUAAGCCGGUUGUGAAAGCCCCGGGCUCAACCUGGGAACGGCAUCCGGAACUGUCAGGCUAGAGUGCAGGAGAGGAAGGUAGAAUUCCCGGUGUGGCGGUGAAAUGCGUAGAGAUCGGGAGGAAUACCAGUGGCGAAGGCGGCCUUCUGGACUGACACCGACACUGAGGUGCGAAAGCGUGGGUAGCA